UCCAUAACAAUCAGGGAUCUCAUCAGUUCGAUCAUCCAAGAAAAUAAGCAUCUAGAACAAAAAUUUCACAACUUCAGAGUACAACACACACACUAGUGGAAAAUAUUAUCAGUGCUGAAUGUUGAGAACUUCCACACAACAGUAGUUUCCAAAAAGAGAAAAAGGACCCACUGAUUAAGAAGAAAACUGAAUUGAAGUUCAUUCUCAGGAAGAUCCAACAGUUACAUGCACAAGAAGAACGAAACAGGUAAGUGCAAAACAUGGGAAACCCAUACAACGCAGGGGUGAUCACUAGAGAUGCCAAACAAUGUAGCAUUUCAAACUGCCCUCUUCUUGGAGCAUG
rnacentral:lncRNA from 1 species